AUACGAAGGGGGCUAGCGUUGUUCGGAAUCACUGGGCGUAAAGCGCGCGCAGGCGGCUAUUUAAGUUGGAUGUGAAAGCCUACGGCUCAACCGUAGAACUGCAUCCAAAACUAUUUAGCUAGAGUGUGGGAGAGGAAGAUGGAAUUAGUUGUGUAGGGGUAAAAUCCGUAGAGAUAACUAGGAAUACCAAAAGCGAAGGCAAUCUUCUGGAACACUACUGACGCUGAGGCGCGAAAGCGUGGGGAGCAAACAGGAUUAGAAACCCUAGUAGUCC
rnacentral:rRNA from 1 species